GACGAACGCUGGCGGCAGGCCUAACACAUGCAAGUCGAGCGGACCUUUCGGGGUCAGCGGCGGACGGGUGAGUAACGCGUGGGAAUAUGCCCUUCUCUACGGAAUAGUCCUGGGAAACUGGGGGUAAUACCGUAUACGCCCUUUGGGGGAAAGAUUUAUCGGGGAAGGAUUAGCCCGCGUUGGAUUAGGUAGUUGGUAGGGUAAUGGCCUACCAAGCCGACGAUCCAUAGCUGGUUUGAGAGGAUGAUCAGCCACACUGGGACUGAGACACGGCCCAGACUCCUACGGGAGGCAGCAGUGGGGAAUCUUAGACAAUGGGGGCAACCCUGAUCUAGCCAUGCCGCGUGAGUGAUGAAGGCCUUAGGGUUGUAAAGCUCUUUCAGCUGGGAAGAUAAUGACGGUACCAGCAGAAGAAGCCCCGGCUAACUCCGUG
rnacentral:rRNA from 1 species